AUCAUUCACUUGCAUUGGUAUCUUUUUUCAUAGAUACCUUGAAAAAUUGUAUUUUGUUUUCAUUAUUCAACUCGUUAGUGUAACUCAUAUCAGUAAACCUUCAAUUUACACACAAAAAUUGUAAAUAGAAACUGAAAACAUUCAUCUUCACCUGACCUCAAUUGAAUAGCUCAUGUUGUCAAUAAUUGAAUUAUUGUCACCGUCCAAUUAUUAUACCUUAUUAUUAACUGUUAACCGGAUGAGUAUAUCAAGUCAUUAGUCAGGUAAUCAUGAACAAUUUUUCCUUUUCACAAGUUACAAUUAAACUUUGAUUCUAAUGUAAACUUUUUGUUCACCUUUCUUUUAACAGGUAAGGCGGUUUAGGAAAAUGGAUUGCAAUUAAUUUACUCAUCAACAACAAUGAAUUAACCAUAAUGGAUGCUCAAAAAUAUGAACGUGUUAUCUGUUACCCGUAACGAAUCAUCAUAUUCAUUGACUUUUGUUUGCUAAAAGAAACAUAAAUUCACUCAUUCCUCUGUUAUUUACAGAUAAUAUUAAAUUCAUGACGUAUUCAGGGUUUUCCUCACACGUGACUGAUGAUGAUAACAUGAUCAAGUUGUGAUUAUUUCUCUACUUCUCCUUGAUCAUCAAGUCAUCAUCUUCCUCUAUUCCAACUCUUUUCUCUUCAUCCAUUGAUCUUUUCUUUCAAACAUUCACUCUCAAUGUCUUAUCUUUUCUCUCUCUCUUUACAGUGAAUUGGUUAAUUACGGAUCUGUUUGAUUGUACAUUUCAAUUAAAAGAGAAAAAGAUUGAUCAGAAUCAUCAUCAGCUUCAUCAGCAUCAUCAUUCUUGAAAUUAUCGUCACUUGUAUCACCAACAUGAUCCGUAUCACAACAGUCAUGAGAUGUUCAUUUUUAUGAUUUUUUUCUCUCAUCUGAUUGAUCUGAUAGAAAUAUUUUUGAGAGUUGCUUUGCUAUUCAUUAUGUUCCAACUUCGUAAAUGUGCCAAUAACGAACUUGCUUUUUGUAUCUUUUGCCAUAAAACCAAUUAUUCCAUUUCUCAAGUGCAUCUUACCAAAUGAUCAACAAAUCUAACGUUGAUUCCAAAUUAUUCAAGAUAACAAAGCUGAUGAAACAGAUUUUAUUGUUCUCUUUUCUUCUCUUCUCUUGCCUUUUACAUUGUUCUUUUUACACCUAAGAAAUCACUUUGGACCUAAUCAAUACAUUGACUGAUUGGAGACCGCUUACUUAUCUGUGAAUUGUUAUUAAAAAAUAUUGAUGAUGAUGAUGCCCUUCACCAUUUAUCAGUCAACCUUGAGUAGUUUAUUGGAAUGAACAAGAUGAGAAGAGGAACGAAAAUUAGGCAGAAAAAAGAGAAACAAUAACUAGAUAAUGUUUGACUUUUCAUGUUGACACGGAAAAAUUAAUAAAUAAUAAUAGUGGUAAAAUUAAUGGCUGUAGAGUAAUUAGCUACUAUUGGCUAACCGUUACUUUGACAUCUGAUUGUUGAACUGAUGGCGAGAACUGAAUUUCAAAUGAAAAUAUCAAUUUUGAUGAAAAUUAAAGGCAAAAAUAAUGGUAUUACCAUUGUUGAAUUGGUUUACUCAAGCUUCUUGUUACGGCAAGAAUAGACAGAAAGAAAUUGGAAAAAUGCAUUUUAAUUACGUUUGAUCAAGUAUAAAAUGUUAUGAAGCAUUGAAUCUUGAUUGAAGGCUGCUCUUAAUUGUUGAAACCUGAUUAAGUAAUGUGAUUGUCAAAAAGUACGAUUAAGGUAAAAAGUAAAAAACAAUUUGAUGAAGCAUGAAUUAACGAGAAGAAAGUUGAAAAUCUAAAUAUUGAUUAUCAUAGUCAAUAAUCAAAUGACAAUAUUUAGCAAAUACGCAUCACCAAUUGUGAGUUUCUUGGAAAAAGUGAUUCAAAUGAUGAUUAAUCGACAGACAAUUGAUUAAACUUUAAAAUCACAAGGCAAUCAUCCAUGUAUUUGAUCAGAAAUUAAUUCAAUUACAUAUUUUAAACAGUAUUGGCCCUUUAAAUGAAUCAAACAUUGAAUCGUGUUUUGUUUUUCAACCUUUCCUUGAAAUAUCUGACCAUUGACAAUGACUGAUGAGUCCUUUUGAUUUUCAAGUUUUUAACGUCAUUUGAGUUUCCCUUUUUGAAGGUAUUUACGGAUAUAAUGGCUAAUUAAUUGUUGUUUAUUAGUGGUAAGAUAAUGGCUUGACGUAGUUAUUGAUCAUUAAUUGUAACAUAACAGCAUUUGGUGUUGAUGGUGAACAUGAAAAUUGAUUGAAUCAAUGAAUGUUGAAAAAGUUAAUCUGAAUGACAGUAAUGACAAUGACGGUGAAAAUAAUGGUUCAACCAGAGUAACAUUUGAGAAUCAAAUUGAUUGCUGGUUUAUUUUAUCAAAAGUAAAUGUUAAUUAACUAUUGUCCUUUAAAUGUCUUUUGAUAAUUUUUCCUAGUUACUUAGAUAUAAGCUCAUUCCGUUGGAUAAAUUGAGUUAACUCGCAAAAAUCAAAUGAUCUUAGUCAAGUAAAAGUAUUAAAGUCCAAUUUUUUAUCAACAUUCAAUGAAAAUUAAUGCGCUAUAUUAUAAUGAUUAUCUUUCAUUUUUCUUUCAACAACAUUGUCUUUCUCCUUUCAUCUCUUGUGAAGUUAUUGUUAUAUUUUUGGUAAUAAUAACUGGGAUUUUCCAGAAUAAACUGUGCAAAUUUCAAAGGAGUAAACUGGUUUUACAUCAAAACCACUUUAAAUAGUAUGAUUACCGUCACAAACAAUUUAUGAUCACAAAAACUUAAAGUUAACCAACAAAAACAAAAUCUGUAGACUUAUUUGGGUCCAUCUGUUGGUGAUCAAACAUAUUAUUAUUAACCAGGAAUAAUUUCUGGUAACCAGUUAUUUCAAGUUUCCCACCAAAUAUCCAGUUAUCCAACUUAUCUCUAAUUUUUAUGUUAACUGUUUGGUGUACAAUCUGAUAUUUUAUUAGUUGACAGAUAUUAGAUUUCGUAUUCAGAAAUCGACAAGAAAUGGCUACACAUGAAAACCUCAUUAUGAUUUCAGUUACUGGUGAUUAUGGCAUGACUGAUGAUGGUUUGUCGAAAUGGAACCUGGAAUGAGGAGUGAAAAUAUGAAUUGACCGAAUUCACUGAUUCUUUUUCAUUUUUUGAUUAGUGGCUCGGUCAGGAUCCAUAUUCCACAUUUCAACUGAUACUCCUAAAAUAAUCAAUAUGUAUAUGUAAAAUUUAGGAUAAUUUUUUUAAGGUGUAUUUUUGUGGUUGAGGGUU